CAUGUGCGCAAGCCCCUGAGUGCACGUGCUUGUGUGUGUGUGUGUGUGUGUAGACACACACACACACACACACACACACACACACACACACACAC
ensembl:miRNA Gm24396 predicted gene, 24396